rnacentral:rRNA from 1 species
UGGGGAAUCUUGCGCAAUGCGCGAAAGCGUGACGCAGCAACGCCGCGUGGGGGAAGAAGGCCUUCGGGUUGUAAACCUCUUUCAGUUGGGACGAAGGUUCGGUCGGUGAAUAGCCGGCCGGACUGACGGUACCUUCAGAAGAAGCCCCGGCUAACUACGUGCCAGCAGCCGCGGUAAUACGUAGGGGGCAAGCGUUGUCCGGAAUCAUUGGGCGUAAAGCGCGUGUAGGCGGCCCGAUAAGUCCGCCGUGAAAGUCCAGGGCUCAACCCUGGGAUGCCGGUGGAAACUGUCGGGCUAGAGUCCGGAAGAGGCGAGUGGAAUUCCUGGUGUAGCGGUGAAAUGCGCAGAUAUCAGGAGGAACACCAAUGGCGAAGGCAGCUCGCUGGGACGGUACUGACGCUGAGACGCGAAAGCGUGGGGAGCAAACAGGAUUAGAUACCCGCGUAGUCC